GGACCAUAGCUCAGUGGCAGAGUAUCUGCUUGUAUGCAGAAGGUCCCAGGUUCAAUUUGUGGCAUCUCCA